rnacentral:ncRNA from 1 species
GUGAGCACAGUACGAUGAAAGUUGUAAGCUGUGUUCGGGGGGAGUUAUUAUCUAUGGUUGGCCUCUAUGGUAGAAUCAGUCAGGGGACCUGAGAGGCGGUGGUUUACCCUGU